UACAGAGGGGGCAAGCGUUGUUCGGAAUUACUGGGCGUAAAGGGCGCGUAGGCGGCCUGCUAAGUCGAACGUGAAAUCCCUCGGCUUAACCGGGGAACUGCGUCUGAUACUGGAUGGCUUGAGAUUGGGAGAGGGAUGCGGAAUUCCAGGUGUAGCGGUGAAAUGCGUAGAUAUCUGGAGGAACACCGGUGGCGAAGGCGGCAUCCUGGACCAACACUGACGCUGAGGAGCGAAAGCCAGGGGAGCAAACGGG
rnacentral:rRNA from 1 species